UGAGUAGGGCGGGACACGUGGUAUCCUGUCUGAAUAUGGGGGGACCAUCCUCCAAGGCUAAAUACUCCUGACUGACCGAUAGUGAACCAGUACCGUGAGGGAAAGGCGAAAAGAACCCCGGCGAGGGGAGUGAAAAAGAACCUGAAACCGUGUACGUACAAGCAGUGGGAGCACGCUUAGGCGUGUGACUGCGUACCUUUUGUAUAAUGGGUCAGCGACUUAUAUUCUGUAGCAAGGUUAACCGAAUAGGGGAGCCGAAGGGAAACCGAGUCUUAACUGGGCGUUAAGUUGCAGGGUAUAGACCCGAAACCCGGUGAUCUAGCCAUGGGCAGGUUGAAGGUUGGGUAACACUAACUGGAGGACCGAACCGACUAAUGUUGAAAAAUUAGCGGAUGACUUGUGGCUGGGGGUGAAAGGCCAAUCAAACCGGGAGAUAGCUGGUUCUCCCCGAAAGCUAUUUAGGUAGCGCCUCGUGAAUUCAUCUCCGGGGGUAGAGCACUGUUUCGGCAAGGGGGUCAUCCCGACUUACCAACCCGAUGCAAACUGCGAAUACCGGAGAAUGUUAUCACGGGAGACACACGGCGGGUGCUAACGUCCGUCGUGAAGAGGGAAACAACCCAGACCGCCAGCUAAGGUCCCAAAGUCAUGGUUAAGUGGGAAACGAUGUGGGAAGGCCCAGACAGCCAGGAUGUUGGCUUAGAAGCAGCCAUCAUUUAAAGAAAGCGUAAUAGCUCACUGGUCGAGUCGGCCUGCGCGGAAGAUGUAACGGGGCUAAACCAUGCACCGAAGCUGCGGCAGCGACGCUGAUGCGUUGUUGGGUA
rnacentral:rRNA from 1 species